rnacentral:lncRNA from 1 species
CAUCAGAGCACAGGUGACCCUGGUCCACAGGGAGCUCUUCAUCCCUGGACCACAAGUGCCCAACGCCGCAAAAAGGGGCCCUAUGACACCCCGAUACCGGGUACAGGCUGUGUAUGUGCUAUUGUAGAGGCAAGGAACGGAAGAGCUGGGGGACGGGAGGACCUAGGGUCAACACCUGGGAAGUAUGUGGGGGGGGAGAGACCGCUCUGCGGUGUGUGUUGGGGCUGAUCGGAGUUGUCUUUGAAGGGUUUGGGUACCGCGGGAG